GUAGGGAAUAUUGCGCAAUGGACGAAAGUCUGACGCAGCGACGCCGCGUGAGUGAUGAAGGCCUUAGGGUCGUAAAGCUCUGUUGAAUGGGAAGAAAAAAAUGACGGUACCAUUCGAGGAAGGACCGGCUAACUUCGUGCCAGCAGCCGCGGUAAUACGAGGGGUCCUAGCGUUGUUCGGAAUCAUUGGGCGUAAAGGGUGUGUAGGUGGCCAUGUAAGUCAGGUGUGAAAGCCCCGGGCUCAACCCGGGAAGUGCACUUGAUACUGCGUGGCUUGAGUACCGAAGAGGGUAGUGGAAUUCCAGGUGUAGUGGUGAAAUACGUAGAUAUCUGGAGGAACACCGGUGGCGAAGGCGGCUACCUGGUCGAGUACUGACACUGAGACACGAAAGCAUGGGGAUCAAACAGGAUUAGAAACCCCAGUAUCC
rnacentral:rRNA from 1 species